rnacentral:rRNA from 1 species
AACGAACGCUGGCGGCAUGCCUAACACAUGCAAGUCGAACGAAGCCUUCGGGCUUAGUGGCGCACGGGUGCGUAACGCGUGGGAAUCUGCCCUUGGGUUCGGAAUAACAGUUAGAAAUGACUGCUAAUACCGAAUGAUGUCUUCGGACCAAAGAUUUAUCGCCCAAGGAUGAGCCCGCGUCGGAUUAGCUAGUUGGUGAGGUAAAGGCUCACCAAGGCGACGAUCCGUAGCUGGUCUGAGAGGAUGAUCAGCCACACUGGGACUGAGACACGGCCCAGACUCCUACGGGAGGCAGCAGUGGGGAAUAUUGGACAAUGGGCGAAAGCCUGAUCCAGCAAUGCCGCGUGAGUGAUGAAGGCCUUAGGGUUGUAAAGCUCUUUUACCCGGGAUGAUAAUGACAGUACCGGGAGAAUAAGCCCCGGCUAAACUCCGUGCCAGCAGCCGCGGUAAU